rnacentral:tRNA from 1 species
CUCUUUGGUGCAGUAGGCAGCACAUCAGUCUUGCAAACUGAAGGUCCCAGGUUUGAUCAUCUGAAGGAG